AGAAUGUUUUAAUAAGUCAAUAGAAUGUCAUUUUCAUAUUAAUAGACGAUGUCUUAUGAAUUCAUUAGCAAUGAAUGAUGCUAGUCUGAUACUGAUAGUGCUGGAGGAGCAUUAUUGCGUCGCCACCGCCACACAAUGAUCGACGUUGCAUGAAAGUGGCUCGUCGAUCCAUUUCCCCAGAGCAACAACUCUUUUUCAUUUCCUCAAUGCUGCAAAGAUCUAGACGCUGAUUCCUGGAGGUCUUGCAUCUCAGCACUGGAUGAUUCCAGGACUUCUCGGUGCCACUCCUGAUGCUGAAAUCCAGUAAAAACGAGCUUACUGUAUCAACGAAAGGACUGGAAUGUUACAGAAAAUGCUGUAGACGCUGCAUGUUGCGGUUACCCAGAUGGUCGAAAUGAGUCAGAUACUAACCGA
rnacentral:lncRNA from 1 species